rnacentral:rRNA from 1 species
UAGGGAAUCUUCCGCAAUGGGCGAAAGCUUGACGGAGCAACGCCGCGUGAGUGAUGAAGGUCUUCUGAUCGUAAAACUCUGUUAUUAGGGAAGAACAAAUGUGUAAGUAACUAUGCACGUCUUGACGGUACCUAAUCAGAAAGCCACGGCUAACUACGUGCCAGCAGCCGCGGUAAUACGUAGGUGGCAAGCGUUAUCCGGAAUUAUUGGGCGUAAAGCGCGCGUAGGCGGUUUUUUAAGUCUGAUGUGAAAGCCCACGGCUCAACCGUGGAGGGUCAUUGGAAACUGGAAAACUUGAGUGCAGAAGAGGAAAGUGGAAUUCCAUGUGUAGCGGUGAAAUGCGCAGAGAUAUGGAGGAACACCAGUGGCGAAGGCGACUUUCUGGUCUGUAACUGACGCUGAUGUGCGAAAGCGUGGGGAUCAAACAGG